AGCAGCCGCGGUAAUUCCAGCUCCAAUAGCGUAUAUUAAAGUUGUUGCAGUUAAAAAGCUCGUAGUUGAAUUUCGGGAUCAAGGAAUCGGUCAUGCCUCGGUAUGUACUGGUUUUAUUGGUUCUCACCUUCUAAAGAACCAUGAUGUCAUUCAUUUGAUGUUAUGGGGAAUUAGGACUGUUACCUUGAAAAAAUUUAGAGUGUUUAAAGCAGGCUCACGCUUGAAUACAUUAGCAUGGAAUAAUGAAAUAGGACGUUUGAUUCUAUUUUGUUGGUUUCUAGGAUCGACGUAAUGAUUAAUAGGGAUAGUUGGGGGCAUUAGUAUUCAAUUGUCAGAGGUGAAAUUCUUGGAUUUAUUGAAGACUAACUACUGCGAAAGCAUUUGCCAAGGAUGUUUUCAUUAAUCAAGAACGAAAGUUAGGGGAUCGAAGACGAUCAGAUACCGUCGUAGUCUUAACCAUAAACCAUGCCGACUAGGGAUCGGAUGAUGUUAAUUUUUUUAAUGACUCAUUCGGCGCCUU
rnacentral:misc_RNA from 1 species